AUUGAACGCUGGCGGCAUGCCUUACACAUGCAAGUCGAACGGUAACGGGCCUUCGGGUGCCGACGAGUGGCGAACGGGUGAGUAAUGUAUCGGAACGUACCUUUCAGUGGGGGAUAACGUAGCGAAAGUUACGCUAAUACCGCAUAUUCUGUGCGCAGGAAAGCAGGGGAUCGCAAGACCUUGCGCUGAUUGAGCGGCCGAUAUCAGAUUAGCUAGUUGGUGAGGUAAAGGCUCACCAAGGCGACGAUCUGUAGCGGGUCUGAGAGGAUGAUCCGCCACACUGGAACUGAGACACGGUCCAGACUCCUACGGGAGGCAGCAGUGGGGAAUUUUGGACAAUGGGGGCAACCCUGAUUCAGCCAUGCCGCGUGAGUGAAGAAGGCCUUCGGGUUGUAAAGCUCUUUUGUUUGGGAAGAAAUCCUAACGGAUAAUACCUGUUGGGGAUGACGGUACCAAAAGAAUAAGCACCGGCUAACUACGUGCCAGCCGCCGCCGUAACAC
rnacentral:rRNA from 1 species